rnacentral:rRNA from 1 species
GGAGUUUGGACCGUGUCUCAGUUCCAAGUGUGGGGGACCUUCCUCUCCAGAACCCCUACCGAUCGUUGCCUUGGUCGGGCCGUUACCCCGCCAACAUAGCUAAUCGGACGCAUCCCCAUCCACCACCGAUGAAUCUUUACUCCUCGUCAGAUGUCCGCAAAGGAGACCAUCAGGGUAUUAA